AUACGGCUAGCCGUAAUGUAAAACAGCGUGUCAUUACCCGCCGCUUUGACAGUUUUUAGUUCCCAUUUUCAAUACCGUGGCGCUGCCUGACAUAACAACAACAAUGGCGUCGGAUGCAGAAAAUGUGUUGCUAAAUUACGGUGUUAUUUCUGAAUCUAAUAAAGAAAACGUUAUAAAUAUGUGUGUCGACAGUGAGUUUAAGAACAAUUUUAACUUGCAAUUGAAGAAUUUCUAUUCUUCACAAUGUGGAACAGUCAGAAAACCGUGGACAAGGGACCGAGUUUUGAGAGGUUAUAGCCCACAUCAAAACCGCUAAAGUGGCUAUGGAUUCUGGUGUUCGGCGGAAUCCUACUCAAUAUUAUUGGUGCAAAAAGUAUGAUAUUAUGACAGUGGCCGGUGAAGAUUUUGAGAUAUCUUUUAUUUUAAGAUGUGUGUACCUUGUGAUUACUCAUUAUGUUUAAAAAUGACUAAAUCCAAAUAUUUUAUUAUAUUAUUAACUUUCGAAAAAAGUCUAUUUGUUUUGAGAUGGCUGUCCUUGUGAUUUAUAAUAAACAUACAAAAAAAUUACUGAAGCCAAAUAUAUAAUUUAGUAUUAAC